rnacentral:tRNA from 1 species
GCAUUGGUGGUUCAGCAAUAGAAUCCUUGCCUUACAUGUAGGAGACCCAGGUUCGAUUCCCAACUUAUGCA